rnacentral:lncRNA from 7 species
GUGUCCCCAGGCUGAAAAUGGGACCCUUGACCCACUGCAAGUUGUUCACUGCUCAAAACCCACCCUGGGGAGGUUCCCCCUUCACACGGCCCCUCCAGUGACGUUUAUGGCCUCUAGAACAGCCAGAGGUGACACUUAUAUUGCCAGGAGUGGAUGGAUGGUGUUCAUCCCAAAGAGCAGAAUCGUGGGACGGAAAUCACCUUUCAUCCUCACACCGCAGAACCCUCCCCCAAAAAGCAAGCAAGCAAACAAACAAAAAACCCAACAUCAAAAGCUGUCACCCCCAAGCUCUGCUGGUCCAGAUGUUGCACAAAGUUCAUGGAAAGUGUGAGCAGUCCUACUGAAAGCCCACGGAGGGGACCUUGGGAGGCAGCGCGCAGCAGAUAGAGCCAUCCGCCCAGAGCUUCGCAGCACUAUGGAAGAAAAAUCUCUAUAAAACGAAAUAGGCAAUCAACUGAAAUCUAUCCUCUUUAAAUAAACUGAUUCCUUAGUAUUUUCCCAGUGUUGCUGUAAGUUGUUGUCUGUGAUGUCCCCCAGGGCUCUUUCCUCUGCUCUCUGAUUUGGUGUAUAAAAGCAGCUCUGAAUGAUGGAUUACUGUGUCAUUGCAGCCUGCGAAGGAUUAAUUUGUUUCAUUGAUUUCUCUUUAGGCAGAUUGCCAGAAUUCUCUGCUUCCCACCUUUCCCCGGGACUUCCAGCAGUAAUAGACAGUAAUAGCCUAAGACAAAUCAGCCCAUUCUUGUAAAAAUAGAAACGCAAAAUCCUGAAGUCCCAGGAAGGCUAUAAAGUAGGGCUUUUUUUUUUUUUUUUUUUCUCUUCCCGCCUUCCCCCCCCCCCCCCCACCUCUGGUUGUUCUGCAGACCCAUCGACUCUGAACGUCGGUCCACCUUUCCUCACCCUUUGGCCCUUCGCGGGGGGCUGCUCAGUUUCGGGAGCAGUUUCCACCAGCAGCAGUGGCAUGUGAGCGACGGGCAUUUGACAGUCGCGGGGAAAUGUUUUGUUCGCGCUCAACAACGGGGGUGGGAGUCGCAGGAGGGCUGAAUACACCCCACAGCUCAUUCUUUCUCGAAAUCCCGAGGCCGCCUAUAGCUCGUCUGUGAUCGAUCGAUCCACCGUCUGGGGUACCGGGAAAGAGCGCGGUCCCGCAGUCACCCGUCUGCUGCGGGUGGGAGGCACCGGGCUCUCCCGAUCGAUCCGUCUGCGUGCAUUGGGGAUCAUCUGUUGGGAACGUCGGGCCUGGGAGCGGCGGGGGAUGCAGCUGGGCUCCCUCCUCGUGCAGGUUUGGGAGGGGGGAGGCGGAAAAGCUCCACUCCGCAGCCCGCCGCCGGCGCUCAGAUCUCCCCGCCGCCCGCAGACGCGGGUCAGCUGCGCUCAUCUAUUCGUUUUCACAGCGCAGUGCUAAAAAAAAAAAAUGGUAUCGAUUUGGUGUUCUCAAGUUAAACUUUGGAUGUAAUUAGUCCUGCAGUAAAAAGUAAUGUUGUCAUCUGCUAAUGUCUUUCCAGCUCGAGCUCGUGCAGGGCUAUGCCAUGCCGAAGCAGCACUUUUAGAUAGCACCAGGAGCACAGAAGCAUUUAUUUCACCUCUGUAUCUGCCUUGUGACGGGACUAGCUCAGUGGCUACUUUCAAAUAGAUGGUCAAUUACCGUACUGGGUAGCAGAGAUCCACUUCAUUUCAAGCCUAGGAAAUUCUGAAGUUGCAGCCUUAUCUUGUUUCUUUCUUUCUUUCUUUUUCUUUCUUUCCCUCUUCUUUUUCUUCCUUCUCCCCCCCCCCCCCCCCCAUCCCGCUCUCCAGGAGGAUGUUAGCCUGCUACUUCCUAUUUUAAUUUACUGUAAUUUCGGGCUGAAUCCAAAUACCAGCAUUUAGGUCACAGCAUGAUUUCCUUGAGGUAGUGCCAAAUAAUAUUCCUUGCCCUGCCUGAGCAAUGUUCUUUUAUUUACUUCCAUGAGGUGCCUCUGUGGUGUGUAAAGUCGAACUUUUCUACUACUUUUUAAGGGGAUUACCAUUCUCAUAAAGAGAAUAUGACCUUUUCUGGGAAUUUCUACGCUGCUGUACUGUCUGAGUAAAGCCUACAGUGUGAACAAGCCUGCAAUAGGACAAGAAAGAGGAUGGUGUCCUGGGGAAGGCUGUAAACUUCCCUUCAGAGUUGCCUUUGGUGUAGGAGGGUCACUCCUUUCAGCCGUAACAUGGACUGGCUCUGCUUGGCACUCCCAUUCCUGACAGACAAUUUCUCACUGUCACACUGCUCUGAAAGGAAAAGUACAGAUGCAACCGUUUGUGUUUUUCCUGCUCUAGCAGCUCAGCCUCUGGAAGGAUCGGCUCGGAGUGCAGAGCUUGCCCUGCUUGGGAGCAAUUGUGUUCCUGCUGCCCCUUUCUCCUUGUCUAUUCUCUGAGCUCACUCAGGGGAAUUCUUCUGUCUCUCUGGUAGAGAACAAGGAGCGUUUUACUUUUUGCAAAUAAUAGUGACAAUAUUCUUGGCUUGGAAAGUCUCAGUUAGGAGCAGAGGCAGAUAUCCACCCCCAUCCCUCCCGUUUGCAGUAACAGGCAGAAUCCAUCACAGACCAAACUUAAAAAGCUUAAGUGAAGCUCACAUCCUUUCAUCCCUGCAGGACUGGAGAGAAACAGAGUCUGUUAGAUUAGCAAACAUUAACCUCUUGCAUAGUUCUGGAUGUAGGAUUAAUGUCUACUGAAGGGACAGCUGUGUGACCCUCACACAUACACUAACUAUACAUUAGGGUUGUCACUCUAUCGAUCGGGAGAAGUUUUUGUGAAGAAGUGCUCCCCACCAGGGAGCAAAACAGACUAGAGCUGGAAAAAGCCAUUUGUGCUCCGUGAGGACACUCUUUAAAGAAUUUGUUUCUCGUUUAUGGAAUCCAAAGUGCAGAUGAGCCGAACUCUGCAGGCUACGCCCCAAGGUUCUGCAGGAUAUGGACCACACACAACUCCCAGCUGUGACCCUGGGAUCAGCUCAUCUUUGGGCAAAACACAGACCCAUGCCAACGCUGGAUUCACACACAGCAGAGAGUUGCUGAGACUGCCUACAGGAGGCUUUGGCUUCCCGCAGGAUUCUCACUGACUGCACAUCAUUAGCAUAUCUAUUCCCACUUAGAUAAUUUGGAAGAGACUUGUUUGUCUCUAGUAUUUUCCAUCCUUACCUCCUUAUCUAAGAGAAAGAAGACACGUGGGUGAAUAAUAUGUUUUUCAAACUUUCUUCCCAGUAAAAUAGGAAAACUUUAUGCUGUUAAAACACAGGUUGAUUGUUUCCUAGGUUUUGCUGGAUUAGGUACAAACACUGGGCUUAGCUCUGGUCACACCCUACUUCCAUGUUAGUCUAACUGUUCUCAUAGCACAGGAAUUCCACAGAUGUACCAGUAGGUUCAACGCGUUGUUAGAAGCAGACUUUUUUAGUUGGAUAAAUGAAAAUAAAUGCUUAUUGUUGAAGCCUGUUUAUUAAACCUUAAUGGUUUCUUGGAUUUUGAUCCACACAAAUAUUUGGAUGUCAAAUAUUGAACUUUCCAGCCCUUGAUGCUAGAAGAAACAACAGCACAGCAAAUGGUGGGAGCCUGUGUGUCUCGCACGGAUCCCCAAAUGGUACGCUGACCAGCAGUGUGUCCCUGGAGGUGGUCCCCAUGGAGCCUCCAGCCAGAGUGAGGUGUCUGCUGAAGGCAGAUGGGUGAAAACAGAAUGUGUGCUGCGACCCAGGCAUGCUGUUGUUAGGCUGAGAAGACUGCAGCUUGCAACAACCAAACCAAGAGCUCACUGAAUGGCUGAAAAGCAGCCUUUACCUGGUGCUUGCAAGGGGAGGCUGAUAUUGGGAUCCCCAGUACAAGCAUCCACGUCCAGAUGGAUAUAAUGACCAUGGAGGUCAGAGACUGGGGAAAAUGUGAGAUCUCAGCAGCUGGGUUGGUCCUGGCUAUGACGUGGGAAUGUGCCAUGAGGCUGGUGGUCCAGAGACUGCUUGAUGUGGUAGGGAGGCCCCCCCUUUUGUGUGGCAAAGACUGUCUAGCAUGUGUCUAGCAGCAGUUGCCUGACUCAGAGCCUCACAGUGG